rnacentral:rRNA from 1 species
UACGAAGGAUGCAAGCGUUAUCCGGAUUUAUUGGGUUUAAAGGGAGCGUAGGCGGUCUUAUAAGUCAGUGGUGAAAUCCUAUCGCUUAACGAUAGACGUGCCAUUGAUACUGUAGGACUUGAGUACAGAUGCCGUUGGCGGAAUGUGUCAUGUAGCGGUGAAAUGCAUAGAUAUGACACAGAACACCGAUUGCGAAGGCAGCUGACGAAACUGUAACUGACGCUGAGGCCUACGGAA